GACGAACGCUGGCGGCGUGCUUAACACAUGCAAGUCGAACGGAAAGGCCCUGCUUUUGUGGGGUGCUCGAGUGGCGAACGGGUGAGUAACACGUGAGUAACCUGCCCUUGACUUUGGGAUAACUUCAGGAAACUGGGGCUAAUACCGGAUAGGAGCUCCUGCUGCAUGGUGGGGGUUGGAAAGUUUCGGCGGUUGGGGAUGGACUCGCGGCUUAUCAGCUUGUUGGUGGGGUAGUGGCUUACCAAGGCUUUGACGGGUAGCCGGCCUGAGAGGGUGACCGGCCACAUUGGGACUGAGAUACGGCCCAGACUAGUACGGGAGGCAGCAGUGGGGAAUAUUGCACAAUGGGCGGAAGCCUGAUGCAGCAACGCCGCGUGCGGGAUGACGGCCUUCGGGUUGUAAACCGCUUUCGCCUGUGACGAAGCGUGAGUGACGGUAAUGGGUAAAGAAGCACCGGCUAACUACGUG
rnacentral:rRNA from 1 species